UCGGGGAGUAGCUCAGCCUGGUAGAGCACUGUCUUCGGGAGGCAGGGGCCGGAGGUUCGAAUCCUCUCUCCCCGACCAU
rnacentral:tRNA from 1 species